AAAAAAGUUAAUAUAAAAAAGUGAACAUUUAUUUUCAAAUAUUUUUUAUUGAAAGAUUUUUUGUAAAAUAAAAAAGGAGGACACACUGUUCACAAAUAAAGCACUAUAACAAGCUAACCUGCUUAAAGGGACACUUUUUUUUUCCAUUUAAUACAUUUUGGCCUCAUUAAUAAUUUGUAUAUUUUGCAUGCUCAAAUCUUUAUAGUUUUUUUGCACAAAAAAUAAUUUCUUAUCAAAUAUAAACACAGUUUCAGUCCGAACAGCACUGAUUGGGCUGCUUUUAAGUCAUAAGACUGGCUGCCAGUCAGUCAGAGAAACUAUACACAGGUAGUGAUAACCUUACUAUAUCUCUACCUGGAUGUCCUCUCCUUCUAAUGCAGGUUACUUUCUUCAGAUCAUUCAGUACUGUCAUUUGCUGAGUGGUGUGCAUAUCUUGGAUAAGGUAGAAUUUUUCUGAAGUGAUGGGCACUCCCCUUUAGCCCUGCGUUAAAGAGACAGGCUAACAAUGCAGCAUUCUGCAAGAAAAUGUUUGUGUGUGUGCAAAAACGGUAAAGGCUCAAGAAUGGAAAAAAAUACAGCAUAUUAAGGAGGCCAAAGCCUACCAAAUGCAUUAAGCUGUACUGGUGCCAGGAAUGUCCCUUUAACAGAGCCAAUCCUGGAUGGGUGUAAAGAGCCGAAUCGGCAUCCUCAUGUUAGGUGCUGGGUGGUAUAGCUGGAACCUCGGGAUCAGUGAUACGCUGUAAGGUGUUUGGUGUGUUCCUUUAAUAGAGCUCAUUGAGAGAUGUUUGCAAGGUAGGUGCUCUAAAGGAAUGUCAUGCCUCGUGAAUUUAGAUCCAUGGAGUUAAACUGCAACAACAAGUAACAGGACCCAAUGCAAGCAAAAUGAAGGCUAAACAAAUUUAGUUUGGAAACAUAUCAAGGGAAUGGCAUUCCCUCUGAUUAUGAUAAACCUUGAGAUAUCGUAAUGAAAUAUGUAGACACAGAGGGCCUGGCCAGAUCCCUGGAGUGGUGACUGGAGAAGAGCGUCAAUGUAUGAAGACAUAGGUAACUGGGAGAGACAGUGGUAAGUGGGACUUUGGUUGAAUUAUCCUAAUGCCCUGAUUUACAAACAAAAAUAAAGUUAUUCCUUGAAUGUAAGGGGUUGGGAGCUGAACAACCAUGUAUGUGCAUUGCAAUUCAUACUAAGCACAAUUUGAAACAAACAUGAUGAGGUAGGUAGGUCUUCAGUGUGACAGUCAAUAUAGUUUUUCUAGGUAAAUAAUAAUAAGCA